GCGUAAUAGCUCACUGGUCGAGUCGGCCUGCGCGGAAGAUGUAACGGGGCUAAACCAUGCACCGAAGCUGCGGCAGCGACACUAUGUGUUGUUGGGUAGGGGAGCGUUCUGUAAGCCGUUGAAGGUGUGCUGUGAGGCAUGCUGGAGGUAUCAGAAGUGCGAAUGCUGACAUAAGUAACGAUAAUGCGGGUGAAAAACCCGCACGCCGGAAGACCAAGGGUUCCUGUCCAACGUUAAUCGGGGCAGGGUGAGUCGACCCCUAAGGCGAGGCCGAAAGGCGUAGUCGAUGGGAAACAGGUUAAUAUUCCUGUACUUGGUGUUACUGCGAAGGGGGGACGGAGAAGGCUAUGUUAGCCGGGCGACGGUUGUCCCGGUUUAAGCAUGUAGGCGGAGAUUCCAGGUAAAUCCGGAGUCUUGCUAACGCUGAGGUGUGAUGACGAGGCACUACGGUGCUGAAGUAACAAAUGCCCUGCUUCCAGGAAAAGCCUCUAAGCAUCAGGUAACACAAAAUCGUACCCCAAACCGACACAGGUGGUCAGGUAGAG
rnacentral:rRNA from 1 species